rnacentral:rRNA from 1 species
CGCUCUCUGAAAAUACAUUAGUUAUAUUUAUGUAGAUUUAUAUAGAGAGUCGGACCUGCCCGGUGACAAAUUUGUUAAACGGCCGCGGUACUCUGACCGUGCAAAGGUAGCAUAAUCAUUUGCCUCUUAAUUGGGGGCUGGUAUGAAUGGUUUGACGAAAGCUAAGCUGUCUCUUUUUAAAUAUAUAAAAAUUAGCUUAUAGGUGAAGAGACCUAUAUUUAAUUGAGGGACAAGAAGACCCCAUUGAGCUUUAAUGAUCUAAUAAAAGCAUGAUAAGUUUAUAGUUUUAAUUUAUUACAUUUAAAUGAAGAUUUUGUUUAUUAGAAAUUUUUAGUUGGGGCGACUAAGGAACAACGGAAGCUUCCUUUAUCUAAAAUAGUAUCAUGGAAUGCAGUUUAUAAUAUAAUUGAUCCAGUAUUUUACUGAUCAAAGGAAAAAGUUACCAUGGGGAUAACAGCGUAAUCUUUCUGAAGAGUUCUUAUCGAAGGAAGGGUUUGCGACCUCGAUGUUGGACUAAGAUAUCCUAGAAAUGCAGAAGUUUCUAAUGGUUAGUCUGUUCGACUAUUAAAAUCUU